ensembl:lncRNA
CUUCGUGUCCCUGUUGCCUGCAUUCUAUCACUGUGUCCCCUUCUGGAUAAAUUGAUGUCAUUGGUGUAAAAAUAUCAGAGCUGAAAAUAAACCUUUCCCAGCCACGGGCGGUAGGCUUCCUGAGGACCAAUUUCCUGGCAGAGAAUGAACUGCCUCAUCUUCUAUUGAUCUGAGACACCGUGGGCGGGACAGAGCCACGAAGGCACGUGAGAAAGGCAGGAAAACAGAUGACCGGUGCGGCGUUUCCAACUCCGUGUGAGAGAAUUGGGAUUCAGAGACGGGAGGCUCCUCCCCGUGGAAGCGUUCUCCCAGGGAGGCUGCAGGCUCUUCAUCCCGAGGCGAGAACACGCAAGCGGUCACUUCUGCGAGACGUCACAGGGUGAUAUCAACCCUGAUGUCCCCCAUCAGCCUCAGGACUCGCUCAGGACUCGUGUGUGCUCCUGCCGAGUCCCCUCUGACAUUGCUCCUCACUCAGGAAGAUGGGGAUUCCUGUGAAGGUCAAGACCCAAGAAAGGAGGUCUGAACGUGUCGCUAACGGGAACACGCAGGGGGGUGUUCAGGAACAGCAGCCUGUCCAGUUGGAGUCUGUGUGACUGCGGAGGGGGCCGCCUGACCUGCCCAGCCUGGUCUCUCUUAGUCCAGUCGCUGCACUCGAGCACGGAGCUCCCUGACUGAGUGACUCUCUUCAUCUUGUUUCCUUCCAUGUAGAUGCUGGAGGAGAAAAGCUACUUCUCUGGCUGUUUUACAAUAUAGUGCAUUACCAGAAAAUGUGAGGUUCAGGGGUGCCGACAGGUGAGGAGACGACAGCCAUUGAAGAGAUGGCUUCUUACCCACAGAUCCCAAGGAAAGGGGGCACGCCACACCAUGGGGGCCACACAAGGAAACCUUCCAGGUAAAUGUGAAGCAUUUGAACAUCCAGUUACAACCCCACAAGGCGACCUGAAAACUCUCCUCCGAGGCUGCAAGACACCCGCUCGCUCUCUCCAGACGCUCUUCUCCUGAUCUCUGCUGGCACCGACUCCACCUCCCUCCCUGCUUGUCUCCAAGCAACGACGUUUACCGAGCACCACCUGUCUGCCUCGCCUUCGUUCCCGUCAGCACUGGAGAUACAGCACUAAACAGGCAGGCACAGCUCCUGACCUCACGCGGCUCGGGGUCAAAUGAGAGAAAGAUAAUCGUGCAAGCAGCUCAGUCUACCCGCCACGAGGAGGGGCAGCAACAGGAGCGAGCAGUGCAACAGGAGCACAUGGGGUCCUCGGCUGUGAGCUUUUGGGUUACGAGUUAUUGGUCACCAAUGGGUACGUCACUUCAUAUGCUCCGGCAGAGGGGACCCUGUCUUCUGUUCAGUCUUUGAGAAGAAGGUCUCUGAAGCACUGAGCACAAUAAGGAAGUGUGUGUCCUGGUUUGCUGGCACCCAUCCCACCACCACGAAGGCAGCCAGCCUUAUGACAGAGACCGCUGUGCAGAAGACAGCUGGGAGGUGACGCAACCAGGCCGCGGCUCAGCCCUUGAUAAGAGUCGACCCUCACUUUGAACUCUUCGGUUACGUGAGCCCAUAAAUGUCCUAAGUUGUCCAAUUUAUGAUGGUUUUCUGUGCUUGCAAUUGACAGCAUCUUAACUGACUCAUUAGAAGGAACAGCGGAAUGGAAAGAACAUUCUAGAGGUGAUGUACAGAUGUGACGAGAGAAGGUGAAGCACUCAGCAUGGCUGGAGGACAGAGAGGGAGGGAGAAGUCAGGGGAGGUAAGGGUGCAGGACUGUGAAAGACCCUGUCUGCCAUCUUGUCCUGGAGCAGUGGGGACCUGCCCAGGGCUUUAUUCGGGGGAGCUGUGUAAUGACUUUGCCUUGCGGGGGGUCACCUUGGCUGGGGUGGUUAGAAGGACAAGACCGGAGAGAAGGAUACUGGUCGAAGGCGGCAUUAAAAAAUCACAAGUUCUCAAACUUUUUGGCCCUGGGACCCCUCUACACUCAAAAAUUACUGAGGACCUAAAAAACUUUUGUUUUUGUGAUUAUAUCUACCCAACAUUUGCCAAAUUAGAAGUUAAGAUAGAAAUUAAAAAAUAUUUAUUUCAUUAAAAUAACAAUUAUUAAUCCACUUCAUAUUAAAGCAGCACAUUUUUAUGAAAACAUAACUAUAUUUUCAGAAACCAAAAAAGCUUUAGAGAAAAAGGGGGUAUUGCUUUACAUUUCUGCAAAUCUCAUUAAUGUGUGUCCUACCGGAAGGCGGGGGGAGUCUUAUCUGCUCUCGUGAUCAGUCUGCUGUGAGUGUUUUUGGUUUAAGUAAACAAAGAAAAUCUGACACAGAUACGCAGUGGGAAAAGGUAGGGGUAUUUUAAUAGUCUUCUCAGACAACUGUGCAUAUUCUUUGAUACUACCCCAAAAUUCAACAAGUGGUAGUUUCUUAAAGCUGAGCUAAGUAGAAUCAGAAACCAUAUUAGUAAACUCAUAUUCUUUUUUUUUUUAAAGAUUUUAUUUUCCUUUUUCUCUCCAAAGCCCCCAGGUACAUAGUAGUGUACUUUUAGUUGUGGUUCCUUCCAGUUGUGGCAUGUGGACACUGCCCCAGCAUGGCCUGAUGAGCGGUGCCAUGUCUACGCCCAGGAUGCGAACUGGUGAAACCCUGGGCCGCUGGAGCAGAGCACAUGAACUUACUUGACCACUCGGCCACAGGGCCGGCCCCUAAACUCAUAUUCUGUUGUAUUAAAAUUCAUCCAUCUAUCUUUCCCUUUGAGUGGCUUUUGCCCACGCUUGAUUAUGACCUUGCAGACACCCUGAAAGCAUCUCGGACCCGGGGGUGGUCCCUGGAUCACUCCCUGAGAAUCAUUGCGGUAUAUCAAAGAAGCUAUGGCAGGGACCUGAAUGAGGGAGGUGGUGGAGAGGACGUGAAAGGAAAGGCGGGGUGUGCUGAGAGAUGGUAGACGUGGCAUGGCGGCGGAAUGGGGACAGAUGUGACUUAGGAGAAGAGGAAGAGAUGCCUCACCAGCUUCUUGCCUGGGUGCAUGAUGGGGCCAUUCAUGGAAAAUAGAACACAGGGAGAGAAUCGGGUUUGGACAAAAUGAGGGCGAUCUUUUGGGAAUGUUGGAAUUGGGGUGCUUAUCAGACAUCCCAGAGAACAUGGAUAGUCUGUCUAUGACACAGUCUUGAGUUGAAAGUCAGCAGCAUAUAAGCUGAUAAUUAAAGCCAGAGAGUAGGUGAAGUACCCUGAGGAGAGUUUGUAGAGAGAGAAGAGAGGAGCACUGAGAGCAGAAACCUAUAAAGUAUUAACAUUUAGGGGACAAGAAGAGGAAGAGGCAGUCCCAGUGAGGAUGGACACGAGGAAGAAAAAUCAGGAAGAUGCCAUGCCAAGGAAGGCAAGGAAGGCAAGGGGAGGCUUCAUGAAGAAGAGUGGCCACUGGUGCUGCAGAUGGUUCAGUAAGACAAGAGCCAACGCGCCUGCCGAGUUUAGAGCAUGGACCCACUGGCGAUGUCGGCAGAUCGCGGGGCUGGGAACUGUAGAAGUCAGGAUUCUCCCUCCCACCCUUCCACCUUUCAUACCGCUUGUCUUUGUUGAGCACCUGCUGUGUGUCAGGGGUAUAAUAUUGAACAUACUCCUCACUUUCAUGGGGAUUAUAGUCAGUGUUGCGGGGAAGGCAGAAAAUAAUCAAGUAAACCAAUGUAUGGGCUUAUGAUCCUAUGGCAAUCCUCGAAUGAAUUCUAAGGUAGAGAAGACAAAUUCACACUCUCUCAUGUUCAACGCUAAGAUCCAAAACGCUCUGAAAACCAAAAAUUUUUCAUAACUCAUUUGGCAGCAAAAACUAUAGUAAUAUACUGUAUUAUCCUCUUAAAAUCUGGAAACUUCUGAAUUCCUAACAAAUCCACAAGAUGAGAGAUCAUGGACCUGUCUUAGCUCCAUUUUACAGAUAAGGACACAAGACACAGAAAGGUUAAGUAACUUCUUCACAUUCACACAGCCACACUAGGCUACCACACUAGGCUGACUCCCUACUGGGAUAUCCAAUAUCAAGUAAAGUAGUACAUCCACCCACCCAUCCAUCCACCCACCCAUUCAUCCAUGCAUCCAUGCAACCAUCCAGCCAGCCAGCCAGC